rnacentral:rRNA from 1 species
GAGUUGCGAACGGGUGAGUAACGCGUAGGUAACCUGCCUUGUAGCGGGGGAUAACUAUUGGAAACGAUAGCUAAUACCGCAUAACAGUAUGUAACACAUGUUAGAUGCUUGAAAGAUGCAAUUGCAUCGCUAGUAGAUGGACCUGCGUUGUAUUAGCUAGUUGGUGAGGUAACGGCUCACCAAGGCGACGAUACAUAGCCGACCUGAGAGGGUGAUCGGCCACACUGGGACUGAGACACGGCCCAGACUCC